GGGGAAUAUUGCACAAUGGGCGAAAGCCUGAUGCAGCGACGCCGCGUGAGUGAAGAAGUAUUUCGGUAUGUAAAGCUCUAUCAGCAGGGAAGAAAAUGACGGUACCUGACUAAGAAGCCCCGGCUAACUACGUGCCAGCAGCCGCGGUAAUACGUAGGGGGCAAGCGUUAUCCGGAUUUACUGGGUGUAAAGGGAGCGUAGACGGCGAAGCAAGUCUGAAGUGAAAACCCAGGGCUCAACCCUGGGACUGCGUUGGAAACUGUUUUGCUAGAGUGUCGGAGAGGUAAGUGGAAUUCCUAGUGUAGCGGUGAAAUGCGUAGAUAUCGGGAGGAACACCAGUGGCGAAGGCGGCCUACUGGGCACCAACUGACGCAGAGGCUCGAAAGUAUGGGUAGCAAAC
rnacentral:rRNA from 1 species